rnacentral:piRNA from 1 species
UUGAGGACAGCUUUGAAGGGGGGAAG